rnacentral:rRNA from 1 species
AACGAACGCUGGCGGCAGGCCUAAAACAUGCAAGUCGAACGCCCUAGCAAUAGGGAGUGGCGCACGGGUGAGUAACACGUGGGAAUGUGCCUUUUGGUACGGAACAACUUUUGGAAACGAAAGCUAAUACCGUAUGGUCCCUUCGGGGUAAAGAUUUAUCGCCAAAAGAGCAGCCCGCGUCUGAUUAGCUAGUUGGCGGGGUAAUGGCCCACCAAGGCGACGACCAGUAGCUGGUCUGAGAGGACGAUCAGCCACACUGGGACUGAGACACGGCCCAGACUCCUACGGGAGGCAGCAGUUAGGAAUAUUGGACAAUGGGCGCAAGCCUGAUCCAGCCAUGCCGCGUGAGUGAUGAAGGCCUUCGGGUUGUAAAGCUCUUUAGUCCACGAAUAUAAUGACUGUAGUGGAAGAAUAAGCCCCGGCUAACUUCGUGCCAGCAGCCGCAGUAAAAC